AUUGAACGCUGGCGGCAUGCUUUACACAUGCAAGUCGAACGGUAACAGGCCUUCGGGUGCUGACGAGUGGCGAACGGGUGAGUAAUGCAUCGGAACGUACCCAGAGGUGGGGGAUAACGCAGCGAAAGCUGUGCUAAUACCGCAUGUGAUCUGAGGAUGACAGCGGGGGACCGAGCAGCAAUGUUUGGCCUCGCGCCUUUGGAGCGGCCGAUGUCGGAUUAGCUAGUUGGUGGGGUAAAGGCCUACCAAGGCGACGAUCCGUAGCUGGUCUGAGAGGACGACCAGCCACACUGGGACUGAGACACGGCCCAGACUCCUACGGGAGGCAGCAGUGGGGAAUUUUGGACAAUGGGCGCAAGCCUGAUCCAGCAAUGCCGCGUGCGGGAAGAAGGCCUUCGGGUUGUAAGCCGCUUUUGGCAGGAACGAAACGGUGUCCGCUAAUACCGGGCGCUAAUGACGGUACCUGCAGAAUAAGCACCGGCUAACUACGUG
rnacentral:rRNA from 1 species